rnacentral:rRNA from 1 species
GACUAUAGCCUUACCACCCGAAUAUACCCAAUCUGGUCUGAUCUCAGAAGCUAAGCAGGCUUUGGCCUGGUUAGUACUUGGAUGGGAGACUAAAACCCAACCCUUGCACUUCC